UCCUUUCGUACGUAGUCGGCGGACGGGUGGAGUAACACGUGGGUAACCUACCUAUAAGACUGGGAUAACUUCGGGAAACCGGAGCUAAUACCGGAUAAUAUUUCGAACCGCAUGGUUCGAUAGUGAAAGGUGGUUUUGCUAUCACUUAUAGAUGGACCCGCGCCGUAUUAGCUAGUUGGUAAGGUAACGGCUUACCAAGGCGACGAUACGUAGCCGACCUGAGAGGGUGAUCGGCCACACUGGAACUGAGACACGGUCCAGACUCCUACGGGAGGCAGCAGGC
rnacentral:rRNA from 1 species